AUCCGACUGACGAGUCCCAAAUAGGACUAAACAAGCAUCCAAGAU
rnacentral:hammerhead_ribozyme from 1 species